rfam:Picea glauca, whole genome shotgun sequence.
AUUUCUUCAGAGACAUCUGAUAAAAUUGGAACGAUACAGAGAAUAUUAGCAUGGCCACUGCACAAGGAUGACAUGCACAAAUUGAGAAAUGGUCAAGGUAUUC